rnacentral:rRNA from 1 species
GAUGAACGCUAGCGGCAGGCUUAAUACAUGCAAGUCGUGGGGCAGCAGGACUGUAGCAAUACAGUUGCUGGCGACCGGCAAACGGGUGCGGAACACGUACGCAAUCUACCCAGAACUGGUGAAUAGCCCUCCGAAAGGAGGAUUAAUACACCGUAAUAUUAUAAAGUGGCAUCACUUAAUAAUUAAAGCUCCGGCGGUUUUGGAUGAGCGUGCGGCCCAUUAGGUAGUUGGUUGAGGUAAUGGCUCACCAAGCCUGCGAUGGGUAACUGGUGUGGAAGAACGACCAGUCAAGCGGGAGCUGAGAAGCGGGCCAGAAUCCUACGGGAGGCAGCAGUAAGGAAUAUUGGUCAAUGGACGCAAGUCUGAACCAGCCAUGCCGCGUGGAGGAUGAAGGCCCUCUGGGUUGUAAACUUCUUUUAUGGGGGACGAAAUCACUUAUUCUUAAGUGUCUGACGGUACCCCAGGAAUAAGCACCGGCUAACUCCGUGCCAGCAGCCACCGCCG